rnacentral:lncRNA from 1 species
GUUUGUCUGAAAUGAAUACCAUUAUGUAGCAGUCAAUCAAUGAUUAGAAAGUAGUGUUAAAAAUAAUUGCUUAUAUUGCUAUUAUUAUUUGCUAGAAAUUUGAAUAGAUUUAUUUCAAUUAAACAGCUAAUGGAUACUUUUAGAACCCCCAUAGAUGGCCCAAUUCCUAAGGUGAGAUCAGUCAGAAAGCUGAAGGAUGGGAUACAACAACAAGGCUGGACACUUCUUGAAAAAGGAUAUGUGAGACCUGAAAUUGAAGCUGGAUCCUUCAAAGUGAUAAAUAACUAUCUUACUAUGCAGCAGAUGCUAGAAACUUGGGCACAGGAAAAUGGUUUAAACAUUCCAUCUUUGUUUUCUACAUUGUAUUUUUUUUAAUUUUACCUAUUUAAAAUUCCGAUAAGCAUGAAAUACAUAAUUUCUUCAUUUUAAAGAAUAAAUACCAUUUACUCAAUAUUAAUGUACA